AGAAGUUCAGGAGCAAAUCAAAAAUGAUUCUCUGUGCUUGGAGAGGCGAAUUGUAGAUGCUAUUACUCAAAACUUUGCCUCCAACAAAAAGAAGAUGGAUAAUGGUUCAUAUGAGCAGUACCAGCAGGAGCAGAAAAGAAGGCAAAGAAUCACAAGGGAACUGGAGAAAAG